rnacentral:rRNA from 1 species
UACGUAGGUGGCAAGCGUUGUCCGGAAUUAUUGGGCGUAAAGCGCGCGCAGGCGGUCCUUUAAGUCUGAUGUGAAAGCCCACGGCUCAACCGUGGAGGGUCAUUGGAAACUGGGGGACUUGAGUGCAGAAGAGGAAAGUGGAAUUCCAAGUGUAGCGGUGAAAUGCGUAGAGAUUUGGAGGAACACCAGUGGCGAAGGCGACUUUCUGGUCUGUAACUGACGCUGAGGCGCGAAAGCGUGGGGAGCAAACGGG